GCCCUCGUAGCUCAGGGGAUAGAGCAGCCGCCUCCUAAGCGGCAGGCCACACGUUCGAAUCGUGUCGAGGGCACCA
rnacentral:tRNA from 5 species